UACGUAGGGCGCAAGCGUUGUCCGGAAUUAUUGGGCGUAAAGAGCUCGUAGGCGGUUUGUCGCGUCUGUCGUGAAAGCUUGGGGCUUAACCCUAAGUCUGCGGUGGAUACGGGCAGACUAGAGGCAGGUAGGGGAGAACGGAAUUCCCGGUGUAGCGGUGAAAUGCGCAGAUAUCGGGAGGAACACCAGUGGCGAAGGCGGCACUCUGGGCCGGAACUGACGCUGAGGAGCGAAAGCGUGGGGAGCGAACAGG
rnacentral:rRNA from 1 species